GCCGGAGUGGCGGAACUGGUAGACGCGACGGACUUAAAAUCCGUUUGUAUUAACCUGCAGUGAGGGUUCGAGUCCCUCCUUCGGCA
rnacentral:tRNA from 1 species